rnacentral:rRNA from 1 species
UACAGAGGUGGCAAGCGUUGUUCGGAAUUACUGGGCGUAAAGGGCGCGUAGGCGGCAUGUCAAGUCCGGGGUGAAAGCCCCCAGCUCAACUGGGGAAGUGCCUUGGAAACUGACGUGCUCGAGGGAGGUAGGGGUCGAGGGAACUUCUGGUGGAGCGGUGAAAUGCGCAGAUAUCAGGAGGAACACCGGUGGCGAAGGCGGGUCUCUGGGCCGAUACUGACGCUGAGGAGCGAAAGCGUGGGGAGCGAACAGG